GCAAACUUGGUCAUUUAGAGGAAGUAAAAGUCGUAACAAGGUCUCCGUUGGUGAACCAGCGGAGGGAUCAUUACCGAGUUGCAAAACUCCCACCAUUGUGAACUUACCUAGACUGUUGCUUCGGCGGGGGGCACUGCCCGGCUUUUUAUAAAGCACCCGCCGGAGGCAUUCAAACUCUUGUUUUUCUGGCCUCUCUGAGUAGCUUAUUUAAUAAGUCACAACUUUCAACAACGGAUCUCUUGGCUCUGGCAUCGAUGAAGAACGCAGC
rnacentral:misc_RNA from 1 species